CCUAGAGCCUGCGGGUCAGUGGAAGGACGUGAGCAAGUGGAGCUUUCAUUUCCUGUCAAAGAGGAGCAGCGAGGAGCUUUCAGAGGGAUCAGUCGCAGCCUAAUUGGGCCCCGGUGGGUGACACGGCAGCGUCGUAAAUAAAGCAAACACAGUUUUAGUGUCUCUGCCACUGGACUCUUUAAACCUUCAUCACAGAGCAAGCACUUCCAAUGAAAGACCACAUCUAAUUACUUUGCUAGAGGUACAUGCUUAUGGAGGAAGACCAAUCUGGGACUGUAGCACCACAAUCUGGCCCGUCAUUUGGAUGUCGUUACUGAGUUGAUUCCAGGUGUCGCUUAUUUUCCCCAGUGUAUUUCUCCCUGUGUUUCCUGUCUCUCUGACCGGUGAGUGGGCCAGGAGAAACAUGAAGAGCUGCUGUGACAUGUGUAGUAUAGACCAGAGCUGUAUGGAGUACAGUACAGUAUAGGAGACACUCACCAGGUCCUGAUUGCUGCUGAUCCUCUCUGUGGUGAUCUGGAAGUAGUUCCAGCCAAUGAGCAGCAGCAGGAAGAGAGGCAGCAUGAAGAGCUCCCAGGCCCACACCGUCACUAUGAAGAUCUGGAAGGACAGGAAGGACAGGGUGGGAGAGGGGGAGACUCAUGAACAACACGGAUACAGCACGGCGGGUGGCACUGCCCUCAUACAACAUGGGCCAGAACCCAAGCCCAGACAUCACGGACACAAUGUCCUCCUCCCACAUCCCAGCAUUCACCACUCAAAACAAACAAUGGGUUUACCCACCACCCAUGCCCCAUGAACAACACAGCAGACUGCAAAGCUAUGCCACGACACUAUACAGCAGGGUACCCCAACUGGCGGCCUACGUUUUCUGAGCACAAUGUUUUUUUUCAUUGUUGGACAUAAAAGACUGUAAAAACACCAGAAAAUCAGCUUCAAGGUAUUCCCACGCAUAACAGAGAGAUAUGUGAUCAUAUACAAAUGUAAGCAAUGUUUGAAAUAUUAUGUUCUAGUCAAAUAUUAUAUCUGUUUUGGCUUCUUGUGAUCAAUUUGCAGUCUACAAAUGAUUUGUAAUUAUGUUCUGGUCCCCUGACCAUCCGCACAAGAAAACAAAUUGUCCUA